UCGCUUUCUCUAUCUCUCUCUCCCGCUGCUUCCUUGGUUUAGUGUUGCCUGUGUUGUGCCCGAAAGCAGUGUUGUAGAUUUUAUUGCGCUGUGCCCGUAAUCAUUGAGUGACAGCCCUGUGCGUGUGUUGCCGCGUCAGGAAAGGAGUGUUGCGUCUCCAGGAGGGUCUUCCCCUUCCGAGUGGCGUCCGCGCUUGCUUCCUUCGUCAGGCACCUCCCGCCUCACGCCUUGCUUCCUCCCGUCUCCCAGAGUCUACACACCUGCACUCUUGAGGAGGGUCUUCCCCUUCCGAGUGGCGUCCGCGCUUGCUUUCUUCGUCAGGCACCUCCCGCCUCACUCCUUGCUUCCUCCCGUCUCCCAGAGUCUACACACCUGCACUCUUGAGGAGUUAGCAGCCAACGGCGUUAGGUUGCCAGGUGGACGAGUAGGGCCGAGUGGUGUCAACGUGAGGGCAGUGUAGCUGAUCGUGUGGAAAGUGGGGUGCCAACUCCACUGGUUCUAAUUACAAGUUUGGUUGUAGUGCCGGACUGGAGCAACAAAUAUGCCCAUUGGAUCGAGAAUGUGUAGUGCACUGAUGUGGGUAAUGUGAACUGGAAAUAUAAAUAAGGAUUGAGACAAAAUGGUAUAUUAUGUUCCUUGUUACGUGGCACGGCUUCCUAUAAUCUCCGGCUACUCCUAAUUACGAGUAGAUGCCUGCCUUUCAGUGUGGUCAACGCCACGACACACCAGGUUUCCUUUAACAUUCUCUCUCUCUCUCUCUCUCUCUCUCUCUCUCUCUCUCUCUCUCUCUCUCUCUCUGUAAAACAAUAUAAAAAUCGAUAACAGCAACAACAACAACAACAACCCCAGCUCCACACCAUCUGGUUCACCACCACCACAGCCCCAACACAACAGCAACACAACCACAGCCGUUAACACCUGUACCACCACCACCACCACCACCACAACACAAAGUACAAAACAAACUCGUGCAGGAAAUUAAAUCUGAAUUGUGAUCGGAUUUAUAUAGUUUUUCCUCUACUUUAUUUCCUCUUUCGUAUUUCCUCUUUCGUAACAAAUCGCUACUGUGCUUUUUUGUUUUGUUUUUAUCUCUUCUUUUUCCUACUACUUCCUCUUCUUCCAUUUUCCACUUAC